CCUGACGCAGCGACGCCGCGUGAGGGAAGAAGGUCUUCGGAUUGUAAACCUCUGUCUUUGGGGACGAAGAAAGUGACGGUACCCAAAGAGGAAGCCACGGCUAACUACGUGCCAGCAGCCGCGGUAAUACGUAGGUGGCAAGCGUUGUCCGGAUUUACUGGGUGUAAAGGGCGUGCAGCCGGGAAGGCAAGUCAGAUGUGAAAACUAUGGGCUUAACUCAUAGACUGCGUUUGAAACUGUGGGGCUUGAGUGAAGUAGAGGUAGGCGGAAUUCCCGGUGUAGCGGUGAAAUGCGUAGAGAUCGGGAGGAACACCAGUGGCGAAGGCGGCCUGCUGGGCCUUAACUGACGCUGAGGCACGAAAGCAUGGGUAGCAAACAGGAUUAGAUACCCUGGUAGUCCAUGCUGUAAACGAUGAUUGCUAGGUGUGGGGGGUCUGACCCCUUCCGUGCCGGAGUUAACACAAUAAGUAAUCCACCUGGGGAGUACGAUCGCAAGGUUGAAACUCAAAGGAAUUGACGG
rnacentral:rRNA from 1 species